AAUCAACGCUGGCGGCGUGCCUCAGACAUGCAAGUCGAACGCGAAAUCCCGAGCAAUCGGGAAAGUAGAGUGGCGCACGGGUGAGUAACACGUAGGUAAUCUACCUUCGGAUGGGGAAUAACAAUCGGAAACGAUUGCUAAUACCGCAUAAUGCAGCGGCACCUAAUGGUGACAGUUGUUAAAGCGGGGGAUCGAAAGACCUCGCGUCUGAAGAGGAGCCUGCGGCGGAUUAGCUAGUUGGUAAGGUAAUGGCUUACCAAGGCAACGAUCCGUAACCGGCCUGAGAGGGCGGUCGGUCACACUGACACUGACAUACGGGUCAGACUCCUACGGGAGGCAGCAGUCGGGAAUUCUGGGGCAAUGGGCGAAAAGCCUGACCCAGCAACGCCGCGUGAAAGGAUGAAAUCCCUCGGGAUGUAAACUUCGCAAGAACGGGAAGAAUAAGUAGGGGACAAUACCCCCUAUGAUGACGGUACCGUUUUGUAAAGCUCCGGCUAACUCCGUGCCAGCAGCCGCC
rnacentral:rRNA from 1 species